CAUUUCUCAGCCAUUAAAUACACCAUUUUGUUAAGGUUUGAAUUCAUUCUUAGAUACUUUGUUACACAUAUGACCAACCUUUCUUGAAGAUUUAAGUCCAACACUUGCACAACAAUUACAUUAUCUACUCCAUAAUUAUGUAGUUGCACCCAAUACAUUGUGUAAGCUUGAACCCUUCCAACAAUGUCAUCGCUUCCACUAUAACAACUUCCACAACAUGUUCUAAUUUUGUUGUCAAGGAUCCAUUAAACAUACCUCGAAAAUCUUGAACAACUAAACCACAUGAGGCUGGGUGAUUCUCUUUUGAGAACGAGGCAUUAAAAUUCAAAGCAUGUCGUCCUACCAAAGAUUUAUGCUAGGGAUUCAACCUUCGAGUAGAUGUUGGUUUCCUAGAUGCAUGAACAAAGUUUGACGCUACACCUUGAAUUGGAGAAGCAACAUGCAACAUAGACCCGUCCUUCUCUUUAGGAAGCAGCCUACGCUGUCACCGUAUGUACUAGCAACAAACUCUAGAAAUUCAACCGGCUAGCCCCACAUAAGUGUAAUGAUGCGUAACAUCACAUAGCAGAAACUCAAGCACACGUGCCCCAUAUCCACAUAGCAUCUUCUAUGAUUUCAUUUAAUCCAAGAGAUCUUCAAACUUUUGUUGCUUGCUCACAUCUAGACAAUGAGUGCCCAAUAUAUUUUGCUUUCACUUUGCACACUGGACACCGACCAAUAGUAGAUAUGUGGCAGUUUGCAAGGAUGCACAUGCAUGUAAUAGCGGUAUGCAAAUGCCAUCAUAAUUUUUUUUUAACUUUACUUGACAGUUUUAGGCUCCACAAUCUUUUUCAUAUCGGAUGAGGCGACCAUCGGCCAUCCCCAAUAAAAUCGCAUUGCUACCCGUAUAACAAUCUUUCCAUUGCCUACAGUACGCUAAUCUAUCAGUGAAUACAUCGUUUGUAGUUAAGUGGCAUGCAACAUACUAGUCCUUAGUGUCCUUUUGAUGGAUGGGAAUUUGAAGCAUGCGCUCCACAUCAAUAUGCCAAAAAAUCUCCCGAAUCAAGUUCUCAUCUCACCCACCACAUGUUGGGUCUAUAACUUCAUUUAAUUAUGUCAAAGCAUGUAGCCUCAAACUUGAAAGAGCUAUUAAGGAUCCAUCAGUCAUCCCAUAUGUUUAUUUUUUAAAGGGUUAAAUUCUGCUUGCUCAUCGACUACUGUCAAAAGGGGAUUGCCGUGAAGAUAAUAAUUGAAGGAUGUUGGAGCACCUGGCUGGAAUCAAAGGAAUGAAAAACAUCUUUAGGCCAAAAUUUCAUAGAGUGGACUACUAGAAAUUUCAUUUUUAAUACAAAAAUGUAACAAAACAAUUGUUCUACGGCCAGUUCCAGAAAACGGAGGCUAAGUUCCUGCCUAGAUACUCUGUCACGCAUAUAACGUAGUACUACCUUUCCUUAAUUCUCAACUUGGUAUGUCACUGAAGAAUAAC
rnacentral:lncRNA from 1 species